rnacentral:rRNA from 1 species
AUUGAACGCUGGCGGCAGGCCUAACACAUGCAAGUCGAACGAGUGGCGGACGGGUGAGUAAUGUCUGGGAAACUGCCUGAUGGAGGGGGAUAACUACUGGAAACGGUAGCUAAUACCGCAUACCAUCGGAUGUGCCCAGAUGGGAUUAGCUGGUUGGUGGGGUAACGGCUCACCAAGGCGACGAUCCCUAGCUGGUCUGAGAGGAUGCCCAGCCAACCUGGAACUGAGACACGGGCCAGACUCCUACGGGAGGCAGCAGUGGGGAAGAUUGCACAAUGGGCGCAAGCCUGAUGCAGCCAUGCCGCGUGUAUGAAGAAGGCCUUCGGGUUUGAAAGUACUUUCAGCGGGGAGGCGUUACCCGCAGAAGAAGCACCGGCUAACUCCGUGCCAGCAGGCGCGGUAAUAC